UCACGAAGACUACACUGUCUCCCCCCUAAAAUCAAUGAAACUAAUCUCCUCGUGAAGAAGCGAGGAUACAAAUAUAAGACGAGAAGACCCCAUGGAGCUUUAAACAAACCCCAACUGCUCCCUCCCUAAUCAUAGAAAUUGAGCAUUAAUGACGGGUAGUUUUCGGUUGGGGUGACCGCGGAGUAAAACAAAACCUCCACAAUGAAUGAAAUAAAAUACUAAUAAAAGAACCACAAUUCUAAUAAUCAAAAAAUUGACAUAUUUGACCCAAACACUUGAUCAAUGAACCAAGUUACCCUGGGGAUAACAGCGCAAUCCAUUUUAAGAGCCCCUAUCGACAAAUGGGUUUACGACCUCGAUGUUGGAUCAGGGUAUCCUAGUGGUGCAGCCGCUACUAACGGUUCGUUUGUUCAACGAUUAAAACCCUACGUGAUCUG
rnacentral:rRNA from 1 species